rnacentral:rRNA from 1 species
GAUGAACGCUAGCUAUAGGCCUAACACAUGCAAGUCGAGGGAACGGCGCACGCGUGAGUAACGCGUAUCCAACCUGCUCAUAACUAAGGGAUAACCCAGCGAAAGUUGGACUAAUACCUUAUGGUUAUGGAUGGGGAUGCGUCUGAUUAGCUUGUUGGCGGGGUAACGGCCCACCAAGGCAACGAUCAGUAGGGGUUCUGAGAGGAAGGUCCCCGACAUGGGAACUGGGACACGGACCAAACGCCUACGGGAGGCUGCAGUGAGGAAUAUUUGUGAAUUGACGCAAGUCAGAACCAGCCAAGUAGCGUGCAGACUGCCGACCUAUGGAUUGUAAAAUGUUUAUAUAAGAGAGUAGGUACCAUAUGACUAACAACCAGCUAAUUACGAGCCAGCCGCCGCGGUAAUUC